AAUAAGCACCCCACUCAUUGCUUUUACUCCUGCAAUUAGCCAGAAAAAGAAAAGUUUACAAUCAAUGGUUCCCCCCUAGUGAUAAACACUAGUACAAAAUACCCUCUUAAUAAACACCAUGCAGAAGUGUACUCAAUAUGCCUCUGUGGUAAGAAUUCUGCCUAGGAAUGGCCAUAAUAACUAAAAGUUACCACUUACUGAAAUUACUACCUCAAGUAUCAAAAAGAACUCAUCAUUGCUAAAACAUCCAGCAUUACUAGAACUGUCUGAGAUACCUGCUUUGGCUUGAGGCUGAUAUGGGAGCUUCUCCCUGGACUGACAGGAAAGGUCUGAGUUGGCAUUUCCAAGGAUAAGUAGGGUCCUCUUGUCUGCUUGGCUACAUUCAUCCUCUAGUCAGUGAAGAAAGGUCAAGGUGUCUGAGGAGCUAGCCAAAGACCCGGCUGGUCACCCCCGCUAACCCCAGUAACCAUGUAUCACAAGUACUGGAGAGUCCCAGCGCCAUUCAGAUUUUUCUGUCAAUUCUGACUUUCAAUAGGGGAACUUUAGUCGCCAUGCUGCAGCCAGCACUGGAAAUUAGCUGAAUGAUUCUGGAUGAUUUUGUACAGUUUCAAAUUUUUAGCCUUAAGAAUUUGAGGGCUUUGAAAUAACGUAACUAAGCAGAAGCCUGCCAACUUUCAAAACUAG
rnacentral:lncRNA from 1 species